GACCAAUCAAAUCUAUUAAGACCCAACCAGAAAGAAAGCUAGGGUUCACAAUUUGGUUUAUGCUGAACACUUUCUCACCACCAUCACUGUGAUUCUACUGAUACAAACGAAAAAGCUUGAUUCUUUCCAUUCAUGGGGCGUGGGCUCCGAAGGAUGAAGCAGCGGAAAGAAACAAAAUCUUUGGAUUUUGAUGGUGGGUGUGAGGCCGAUGAGGCCAAAAAAACGACCAAUUUCGCCGAAAACAAUGAUGACGUGGCAGGGGGUUCUUCUUCUUCUUCUGAUCGAGAAGGCGUGAGAAAGAAGCUUGGCGAAAAAGGUAAAAAGGAUAAGGAGGAUGUGAAAGAGAAGGAGAUGUUAGAGGGCGAUUUGAUGGACAAGAAAGAUGAUGUUCAAGACGAAAAUCGCGGUAGAAAAAGAAAGAUGUUUCCGAAGGAUGACGGUGAGAGUGAGGCCGAUGAGGGCAAAACGGUGAUCAAGUUUGCUGAAAAGAAUGAUGAUGUGGCAGGAAGUUCUUCUUCUGCUCAAGAGGGUGGAAGGAAAAGUAAAGUGGAUAAGGAAGACGUGAAAAAGAAGAAGAAUAAGAUAUUAGAGGGCAAUUUGUUGGACAAGAAAGACGAAAAGGGUGGUGAAAGUGGGGUUGAUAGAAAGAGAAAGAAGCUUAAGAGUGAUGAGGGUGAGAUUGAAGUGCCUGUUUCUACUACUGAUUCUUCACAAAACGGCGUUCAGAAACUGUAUAGUCUUAGGGCGCGUAAAGACAAUACACAAGAGGGGAUGCUGCUGCCAAAAGUCAUCAAGAGAAAUUCUGAUUCACCAUUCAUCAAGUUUGUUGAAGAGGAGUCCUUAAUGUGCCAUCAAUGCCAGAGGAAUGAUAAAGGGAGGAUAGUAAGGUGCACAAAAUGUAAGCGGAAAAGAUUUUGCUUGCCCUGUUUAAGAAAUUGGUAUCCUCAUUUGAAAGAGGAGGAUAUUGCUCAGGAAUGUCCUGUGUGCUGUGGUAAUUGCAACUGCAAAGCAUGCUUGAGAUCUGAUGAACCUAUUAAAAAAAUGAAAGGCAAAACAAAUACUGAUGAAGAUGACAAGAUUGAACACUCUAUGCAUUUGCUGCAAGUACUUCUUCCGUAUUUAAGGCAGUUGGAUGAAGAACAAAUGAUUGAGAAUGAGAUAGAAGCUAAGAUGCAAGGGCUCUCGGUCUCAAAGCUAAAUAUAGUAAAGACAGAUUAUGCAAAAGACGAGCGUGUGUACUGUGACAACUGCAAAACAUCAAUAUUUGAUUACCACAGAAGCUGUACAAAAUGCUCUUUUGAUCUUUGUCUCAUCUGUUGCCGGGAGCUUCGUAAUGGGCAGCUUGUAGGUGGUGCAGAUCCAAUUGAGUGGGAGUUUGUCUUUCAAGGUCAUGAUUACUUGCAUGCUCAAAAAGAAAAGGCUCUAAAGGAAAGAAAAAUGGUAAAGCAAAAUGCAUCAAAUGCUGAUGCUAAGCCUGAGGUUCGUGAAUGGUCAAGAUGUGGGUGGCAUGCAGAAAGUAAUGGUAACAUUCCUUGUCCAAAAGUCAAUGGUGAAUGUAACCAUGGUUUCCUUGAACUGAGAACCAUAUUAGGCAAACAUUUUAUCACUAAGAUAGUGCAUAAAGCAAACAAACUAGCACAGGCAUUCACUCUUCAAGAUGUAGUUAAGAACCCUGACAACUUCUGUUCAUGUUUGAGGCUUGAUAGAAGCACAGAUGUUAUUUAUAACAAUAUGAGGAAGGCUGCUUUCCGUGAAGAUUCCAGUGACAACUAUUUAUACUGUCCUAGGGCUGUAGAUCUACAGCCCAAUGAUUUAAGGCAUUUUCAGUGGCAUUGGGAAAAGGGGGAGCCUGUCAUUGUCAGCAAUGUGCUUGACUGUACAUCUGGUUUAAGCUGGGAACCACUUGUCAUGUGGCGUGCAUGCCGUCAGAUAACUAACACUAACCAUGAUCAACAUUUGGAUGUGAAAGCAAUUGAUUGCUUAGAUUGGUGUGAGGCAGUAAUUAAUAUCCACCAAUUCUUUACUGGGUAUACAAAAGGUCGUCAGGAUUGGCUUGGUUGGCCUCAGAUAUUGAAAUUAAAAGAUUGGCCGCCUUCUAAUUUAUUUGAGGAACGUUUGCCUCGUCAUUGUGCUGAGUUCAUAUCUUCCUUGCCCUUCAAGGAAUAUACUGAUCCUCUCAAAGGUGCUCUUAACCUUGCUGUGAAGUUGCCUGAUGGUUCUCUAAAGCCAGACAUGGGGCCAAAGACAUAUAUUGCUUAUGGAUUUCCUCAGGAGUUUGGACGUGGUGAUUCAGUGACUAAGCUUCAUUGUGACAUGUCUGAUGCAGUAAAUCUGUUGACUCAUAUUGCUGAAGUGAAAUUAGAACCAGAGCAACUUCCUAUCGUUGAGAAGUUGAAACAAAAUCACUUUGAGCAAGACAAAAGGGAGCUACUAAGUGAUGAUCAGGAUGGAGAAACUAAUCAUAACGUGCUUAAUAAUUCAUCUUCUACCACAAAUGCUUCAGACAAGCAAAAUUGUGUACAAGUCAUGGAAAAUGGAGGUAACUUAUGUGAUGGGAAAGAAGUUGAUCAGUUUUAUCAACCCUCUGGUGGUAUUGAGGUUGUCGUUGCUAAUGAGGAUGGUCUUUCGUGCGGAUCAGAUCUGAAAGAGAUUGACAAAGUAAAAAUUAUACAAGAAAGUGGUUUGUUUAGGGGGGAUGCUUCAGAAGGUGCUCUCUGGGAUAUUUUUCGGAGACAGGAUGUACCUAAAUUGCAGGAAUAUCUGAAGAAGCACUUCAGAGAGUUUAGGCAUAUUCAUUGCUGUCCUUUAAAGCAGGUUAUUCACCCCAUCCAUGACCAGACCUUCUAUCUGACUAUGGAGCAUAAGAAGAAGCUUAAGGAGGAGUAUGGAAUUGAGCCCUGGACUUUUACUCAGAAGUUAGGAGAUGCUGUUUUCAUUCCAGCUGGUUGUCCUCACCAAGUCAGAAAUCUGAAGUCAUGUAUUAAGGUUGCUUUGGAUUUUGUCUCUCCUGAAAAUGUUGGGGAGUGCUUUCGUUUGACGGAGGAGUUUCGCACACUUCCAAUAAACCACAGGUCUACUGAGGACAAAUUGGAGUGCUUUAGUCUCCUUACAAAAUGUUAAAUUCAGAGGGGUCGGGAAUGUUCAAGCCUACGGGUGAUAGGGUAGAUGUCUUUUGGAAAUGGAAAAGUUUAAAGGAUAAAAAUAAUAGGAAGAGUGUAACCUGUGAUUUUUGUCACAAAUCGUCAAAUAAAAGGAGAUGUGGGUUCUUGUAAGAAAGUGCCGGAGGAUGUUAAAUUAGAAAUGAUUGCUGCUUAUGAAAAGAAAAUAGCUGAAACUGCAGCAUACAUGGAGGCAAUGCAAGAAGAAGACGAGCAAGAGGAAGAUGGGAUCCUAGAGAUUGCAAGACUUAAAAGUGGAAAAAAGCGUCCAACAACAUCAAAUGAAGCCUCCUCAACUGCUUCCAAUAAGAGGAUCACAAAUAAAAAAGGCCCUCUUGAUUUUUUGUUCUCCAAAGAACCUGAAGAAAGUAUCAAAUUGGGAAAAAUCAUGAGACAAACAAGUGUAAAUGAGUCUUAUAACAAGGCUGCAAGAGACAGGGCAGUUCAGUACAUUGCUCGUUUCUUUUUUAGGAAUGGAAUAGCAUUCAAUGUUGCUAAAUCAAAAAGUUUCAAGUUGAUGAUUGAGGCGAUUGGAAGCUAUGGUCCUCAUUUAAAGCCUCCAAGCUAUCAUGAAUUGAGAGUUCCACUCCUUAAAAAAGAGUUGGAAUACACGAAGGGCUUAUUGAGGGGUCAUGAGGAGGAGCGAAUCAAAUAUGGAUGUUCAAUUAUGUCAGAUGGUUGGAUGGAUAGGAAGAAUAGAACUUUGAUUAACUUUUUGGUAAAUUGUUCAUUGGGAACACAGUUUGUGAGGAGUGUGGAUGCUUCUGAAUACAUGAAGACUGGUCAGAAGAUCUUUGAGCUUUUGGAUAGCUUUGUUGAGGAGAUUGAAGAAAAGAAUGUUAUUCAAGUGGUGACGGACAAUGGAAGUAAUUAUGUGUUGGCGGGUAAAAUUUUAGAAGUCACGAGACCAAAAAUAUUUUGGACUCCAUGUGUUGCACAUUGUCCUGAC